ensembl:lncRNA
AGCCAAGAGCAGGCAGAUCUGCGACUGAGGCUAAACUCAGAGACUGGAAUUCAACUGAUAUGCUGUCUCCUGCCUUAUGCCUUUCUUCUUAGACCAGACCAUCCCACCAGGAUAUGAGAAAAGUGAGUCUCAGAGAGGCUGCCACUUGCCUGAAGUCAUUCAGCCAGGGAGUAACUUGUUUGCCACUGGAAAUAAGUCAUCUGACUCCAGAGCCCUCCUGUAUGACCUUCUGGUAUUUACUUUCUCAUUCUAGUCAGGCAUUCCUGAGAUCCUGAUAAGGAAUACAGAACUAAUAAGCCACCACCAACCGGAAGAGUUCGGGAAAGGUCUAAAGGAGACACCACGUGUCCGUCCACUUCCCAGAAUCCCUCUCGCUGGCAUCCAUCUUGGCUGAGUGAUGCAUGCACCACCAGGAAAGACUCUGAAUUAGAAUGAUUGGUCAAAGACCACCCAGAAACUAAUCCCAUCACCCUAAAACCCGACAUUGUGAGCCACGCGGCAGAGCAGUUCUCCUGGGUUCCCUGACCCUACUGCUCUCCAG